rnacentral:snoRNA from 1 species
AGCCUCCUGGUGCUUACCACAGGCUGUGUUCUUGCACUGACUGUACAGAAAGAGAAGGCAUAAUAAACCUACCCAUAUAUGCCCCAGCCCAGGCCCUUUGCCUGGUCUGUGUUGUGAAUGGAGGUCAAGG